UACGAAGGGGGCUAGCGUUGCUCGGAAUUACUGGGCGUAAAGGGCGCGUAGGCGGUUCUAUAAGUCAGGCGUGAAAUUCCUGGGCUUAACCUGGGGGCUGCGCUUGAGACUGUGGGACUUGAGGUCAGAAGAGGGUCGUGGAAUUCCCAGUGUAGAGGUGAAAUUCGUAGAUAUUGGGAAGAACACCGGUGGCGAAGGCGGCGACCUGGUCUGAUACUGACGCUGAGGCGCGACAGCGUGGGGAGCAAACAGG
rnacentral:rRNA from 1 species